UACGAAGGGGGCUAGCGUUGCUCGGAAUCACUGGGCGUAAAGCGCACGUAGGCGGAUCUUUAAGUCAGGGGUGAAAUCCUGGAGCUCAACUCCAGAACUGCCUUUGAUACUGGGGAUCUCGAGUCCGGAAGAGGUGAGUGGAACUCCGAGUGUAGAGGUGAAAUUCGUAGAUAUUCGGAAGAACACCAGUGGCGAAGGCGGCUCACUGGCCCGAUACUGACGCUGAGGUGCGAAAGCGUGGGGAGCAAACAGG
rnacentral:rRNA from 1 species